rnacentral:lncRNA from 1 species
GGAGCCUAUGUUUUUUGUUUGUUUUGUUCUUGCUUUUGCUCCUUUUUCUCCCCAUAGGUGCCCAUGGAUGCCAAGGAUUUCGCUGGAAAAUAGAGAAAUAUAGAAAAUUGGAAAAGAAAAAUAAAAGAGGAGAAGAAACAUAAUCUUCAUUCUGAAAAUAUAUGAUAUCUUUUCUUCUUUUCUAGUUAUUUAUUAAUUAGAUCAUUGGCUCUAGCAUGUUCUAAAUUUUCGGAAUGUUGCUUCAGGUUUGCGAGACCAGUGAAGAAAGUAGAAGAGAAAGCUAAAGCAGGAUAAUGAAUAGAAUUGCAAUACAUAGUUAGGCAAAUUUUGCACCAAUCGAAGUUUUGUCAUUUGUUGUUAGAUAAUUUUAAGGCUGGGACUAUGUCCCUUAGUUUUAUCGUGAUUCUCCAUAAAGCUUUGAUUUCUUGUAUGAAUAGAAUAUAUCAUGAAAAUUUUAAAAUUAUGUCAUGGGAAGAUUAUUUCAAUUUGAUGAUAUAAGGAAUUUUGUCUAGUCAUGUUUCAUUCAAAAGCAAGCUUAUUCUAAUGAAAACCGACAAGUUUAGGCUUUGAUCUCUCUCUCUCUCUCUCUCUCUCUCUCUCUCUCUCUCUCUCUCUAAG